AUUCUGAGGCACUCAAAACACUCUCUGCCCCGGGUCUGUUUUCUGUUUAAAUUUCAGACUCUAUAACUCUACACCCUGCUGGCUCCACAUCUAUCCAUGUCUUCAAUGUCCCCACCCUUCAGAUGCGCCUUGCAUGGGACUCACCUGGCUCUUGUGGAGAAGCCACGAUCCGGGAGACCGAGCUGAGCAAGCCGCUGCACAUUGGUGUGGUGAGGAUGCUGUGCCUAGCUCUCUUGCAUCGGUUCCUUAGGAUGGACACUUCCUGCCCCCAAGCCUGAGGCCCCUUUGGCUGGUAACCUGCAGGGACACACUGCCAGGUUCUCUGGAUCCUCUGCUUGGGAGGUCUCCUUCCCCCAAAAGGGACAUCGUGGCCCAGCUUGGCAGGGAGCUGGGAAGCCAAUGCUGACGAGAGGUGACCCCACCUUGAACUCUGCUGGCAAGGAAGUGCGGUCCAUAAGGAGAACAGGAGUCUGGGCUUCUUCACUCUCUUGGCCGCCCCUAAAUUCUGCAAGGUGUCAGAAACAAAGUGGGAGCUCCAGAAGUCAAUAAAUAAAGGCAGCAUGUUCUGCAGAGCCCACUGGAACUUCUCCCCACUCCUA
rnacentral:lncRNA from 1 species